rnacentral:rRNA from 1 species
UACGUAGGGUGCAAGCGUUGUUCGGAAUUACUGGGCGUAAAGGGCGCGUAGGCGGCCUGCUAAGUCGAACGUGAAAUCCCCGGGCUCAACCCGGGAACUGCGUCCGAUACUGGCAGGCUUGAAUCCGGGAGAGGGAUGUGGAAUUCCAGGUGUAGCGGUGAAAUGCGUAGAUAUCAGGAGGAACACCUGUGGUGUAGACAGCUUACUGGACCAUUUCUGACGCUGAGACACGAAAGCGUGGGUAGCAAACAGG